UGUAAUAUUAUCUAUUUUCUCCUGGUGCUCUAUCAUCAUGAUGGAUCACAGAGCGUGAUCUGAAACAUUGAUGCAAAAAAAUUGACACAAUUGAAUCCAAAAGCAUUUUACAGAUAGAUGUAAUAUUACCUUGAAGGUAUUAGCAAUGACAAUAAAUGAUAAAAGAAAGUGAUAAAAAUCACCUCUUCGAUAAGGCAAAAGGAAACCGUAAAACAAUGCAAAGCAAAAAAAAUGUGAACAUUUUUCACUUCACAUUUUGAAGCUUCUCGAGGAAGCUAUAGGUCACUGCAACUAGGGUUCUUGCAAUAUCACGGUGCAUUCAAGCUCAAAGAGGUUUCCUCAGUAGAUUUUCUUCAAAAAAUAUUCUUCUCUAUGCUCGGGAAUACGGAAUGGGCUGGAGCAAGGAGGACAUAAGUGACAUGGGACAACAACAAGUAGGACUCAGACAUGAGACAACCAAUCAUUCAGGGAAUGGUUGGUUACUUCCCUCACAUGAUCAUUUUCUUUACUUAUUCAUGUAAAAAUUUGUAUAUAUAUACUUUGAAUAAUAAAAGUCAAUCUCAUGACUUGUUGUUUGAGACCAUGCACAUUUUACGUUCAAUAAAAAUCACUACUCUUGUUCUAGAAACAUUUGAA